rnacentral:lncRNA from 1 species
GAACAAUGAAUGACAGUUAAGUCGGUCCUGUUAUCUGAUGUAGUGUUUUGGGUACCUUUAUGCCUGAUAGUGUUUUAUUCACAUACUGAGAAACUGCAAUUUAACUUUAUAUUCACAUGCAUUUCAGGUUUAUGUAGUGCUGCGAAUAUAUAUGGAUGCAUUCUGGCUGAUGAUAUGGGGUAAAUAUUACUAUGUAUCUUUUUAACAAUGUGUCUGCAAAUACAUCCAAUGUUACUUAUUUGAUCUGUGUUAUAGGUUAUUAGUAUUCUUGGUUUAAUUUGUACAUUUUGAGAAAAAAUACCCACUGAAGCUCGACUUUAGUCCGUCAGAGUUUGAUGACUAAAAAGUCCUUAGAUGUGAGUUUCAGUGUGCCCUAAAAGUGACUGCCAAUUAAAGCUGCAUUACUACCACUUAAGAGGAGAUAUAGGGUACCUGUUGAAUUUCCUCUCCCAUCUUUCCUUUGUGUCAAGCCUACAGUAUUUGUCAUCCCAAAUGAAAGUGGAAUUAUACAAUAUUUGUCAUCUUGUGGGUUUCCUUUUUUAAGUUGAACUUCUAUAGUUUCUUACAUUCUCAUUAUUGAUUUUCAAAGCUGUAGCUUAAUGUUUUUAAGGUUGUGUUUCUUUUACACAGUUAUGGUAUUUUUAGGGGCUAGGUUUCAUAAUGGUAGGAAAUUAGUAACAGUAAAUAUAUCCUUACAUGGUUACAUUGUAUAUGAUAUAAAAUAGCAUAUGGAGUUGGUGGAGUUUCACUGUUUGUGCAGCUCCACAAACUUGUAGCUUGGUAUAUUUUAUGCUAUGCUUGGUUAAGCUUUCAUGGUAUCUGUAUGGGCUGGUGUGUAGUAUAUCAUGUAUCCUUGACGUGGCUUCAUUAUGUUUAUUAUAUUAGGUUUAAAAUAACCUUUCAACUUAAGUAGUGUACAACGUUUAGGAGGUUUUUACUGGCUUAUUGAUAAUCUUGGUGUAGUUUGGGACUUAAACCUUUGCCUUCACUUAAACCUUGGGAUCAACUCCAGGCCCACCAAAAUUGGCGAAGUUAACGCAAAGUUAACCCUACCAAAAUUGGUUCAAGUCUCUCCCUCAUCUUCAUUAAUUCGGGAUCACCACCAGAUCCAAUAAGACCUCAGAGGUUGAGAAAAAAACCUUCCCUGUGUGCUUAGAUCUAACAUUAUUUCCUGUGUUUUAAUUUUUACUUGCAUUUUGUUUUUUUUCUUUCCCAUGUUUUUUCAAGUUCCAAAUAGUGCCUUGUAGAUUUCCUUUUUGUUGAUGUGGUUUACUGGGUAUGGCCUAGGUAAUAAUUUGUUUCCCCUUGGCUAGACCCCCCUAAAUAGAAACCAAUCAAACCAUGUGCCACGUAGAACUCGUCCCUACAGAGUAAACCCCAGAUUUAUUGCAGUUUGAACAAUGAAUGAUAGUUAAGUCGGUCCUGUUAUCCGAUGUAGUGUUUUGGGUACCUUUAUGCCUGAUAAUGUUUUAUUCACAUACUGAGAAACUGCAAUUUAACUUUAUAUUCACAUGCAUUUCAGGUUUAUGUAGUGCUGCGAAUAUAUAUGGAUGCAUUCUGGCUGAUGAUAUGGGGUAAGUAUUACUGUGUAUCUUUUUGACAAUGUGUCUGCAAAUACAUCCAAUGUUACUUAUUUGAUCAGUGUUAUAGGUUAUUAGUAUUCUUGGUUUAAUUUGUAGUGGAAUGAUUACAGGGGAUUUAGCUUAAAUGAUGAAUUUGUCAUGAAUUGCUAAUUCUAGAUUAUAUUUUGCUAUUAUUAUUGGCUUAAAUAUUUUUGGUUAUGGUCAAAGGUCGCAAAGUUUUUUAUCUUUCAAAAACUAAUAGAGGAACGUGUUAGAGAAUAACAACACAACGAAAAACAAUAGCAAAGAAAAAAUUAAAAGAAAACAAUCGCACAAGACACAAAAUUUACGUGGUUCAAGUUUUAAUAUCUAUAUUACUUUAGUUUAAAGAAAUUUGAGUUGUGUUAAGACCUUUCAAUCCUACUCAAGAAUUUUGGUAAAAGAAAAAGAGGCAUCAAAGCAAAAAACAUUUCACUAAACAAAAUUAGAUUUUGAAGGGAAAAUGAUUGGCUUAUUUCCAAUUGGCCUCACUAGAUUUUGUAUCUAUAAUCUACAUUGCAGUUAAGGAAGCGUUUUAGGGUAUGUUAGUAAAAUGUGUUUAUAGUAUUUGCUACAGUAAUGCUUGUGCGUUUGGUCACCAUAAGGUGAUUUUAAAUUUCAAACUUUACUUUUAUGAAUUAAACUUUACUUUGAACAGACAAUAAGUGAUUUAAAGUGAUUCAAAAUGAUUUAAAGUGAUUCAGGAUAAAAGUGAUUCUUUUAAUAAAAAGAGUUGCUAUAUCAAGACCUUGCUAAAAUAGAUAGAAGAGGACCUUUUAGUGAUAGACGUUGACAUUGUUCUUCGGUGGUUUGACGUUGACCUUUUAGUGAUAACCCAUCACUGACCAAACAAUUGUCUAGGUUUGAAAGUCUCUCUGACUAAGACUCUAUAUUUCUCUACUUCUCAUGCAGACACACAACACACAAUACAUGCAAAAAAAGACACAUAAUUGUAACCAAUCAAACACUCGCAAAUCAAACUCUCACACCAUUAUACUGCCACCAAUACAGAUUUAUGAGUUAAAUCAUCAAGCAAAUGAACUGUUUGUUGAAAUGGUACUAAGAAUACUUUAUUUGAUUGUAAGUCUACAUUCAUCCAUAUCUUUUCUUAAAUAAAUUGAUAAUUUGUUACAAUCUCUCUAAAUUCUUACUUAUAUCAAUCUAAAUCAUUCCUCCCAAUACAUACAAAUGUGUUUGCUCAUUUGUUUUUUAGACAAUUCAGGGUAAAAUAAGGGUUCUUAUGUUUCGAAUUUACAGUUGUUUUAUUUUGACUCACAUAUUUUGAUAAUUUUUAUAUUUCAAAUAUUUUUAGGUAUACAUUGAAGGAUACUUGGUGAAAGCUGUAAAGAAUAUUUGGUGUAAGCUGUAAAGUAAUGGGUCUUAUGCAAUAUGUUGUUUCUCUAUUUUCUGCACGUUUGUAUUUUUUGUAUUCCGUCUUUUGUAAAAUUAACUAAUUAUACAUGGUUAUGAUGAUUUUUGGGUAUGGAAUGAUGGUUUUUUUGGUGGUUUGGAUAUGUAUUGAUGAUUGUAAGUUUUGUAGACAGGUUUAGAAUUUUCUGAAUAUCUAUUUUUAAAGGAAAUUUUGUCGAAAUUUCUUGAAAUUAGU